CAGUUCAGCCUAGGGAAGCACAUUAGCAGCAAAGCAAGAACAAAACAUUUGAAGAGAUCUGGCCAGAACUGGUCUGCACAAAUUCCCCAUCUGGACUUCCUCCUCCACUCUGCCUGGUUCCCAGGCGUGGCCCCUAAACAGCAGUACUCUUGUGCCCUGCAGCAAACAUGUCCACACUGCCACUGGGAGCAGGCCCUGCAAGCCCUCUGCCUCCGCCUACUCUGCCCUCAGCCCUGGGCACGGAAGCCAGACCACAUGUGGUGCGAGGAAGGGCGAGGAGGGAGAGGAAGAAGCUCAGCUGGCUGGGCCCUGGCUCCUGAAGAAAACAAGCUGAGGCAGAGCAGAAAACACAGUGUUCCCUGCAAUUUGAUCACUUCCAUGCAAGUCUCUGGGCCGCACACCCGGGGUCGCCCGCCUGCCAAGGCCCAGAGGCCAAGAUUUCUAGAAGAUCCUUCUCCCUUCUUCCUCCAAGGAUUGGGGACAUGUUUCUGAGGACUUGGUUUGACUCUAGUGAGUGGCAUGUUGUACUAUACCCCAUUGGAAUUUAUGCUUUCUACCAAUACUCUGUCAGUGUCCAUGCCCAAGGCUGGGCUCUGGGCAUCCUGGCUCAGCCCAGUUACAGGGCAAGUUGCUUGCGCAUCUGUG
rnacentral:lncRNA from 1 species